rnacentral:rRNA from 1 species
UACGUAGGGGGCUAGCGUUGUCCGGAAUCAUUGGGCGUAAAGCGCGUGUAGGCGGCCCGGUAAGUCCGCUGUGAAAGUCCAGGGCUCAACCCUGGGAUGCCGGUGGAUACUGUCGGGCUCGAGUCCGGAAGAGGCGAGUGGAAUUCCUGGUGUAGCGGUGAAAUGCGCAGAUAUCAGGAGGAACACCAAUGGCGAAGGCAGCUCGCUGGGACGUGACUGACGCUGAGACGCGAAAGCGUGGGGAGCGAACAGG